rnacentral:rRNA from 1 species
UACGUAGGGGGCAAGCGUUGUCCGGAUUUAUUGGGCGUAAAGAGCGUGUAGGCGGCCAUGCAGGUCAGCUGUGAAAACUCGAGGCUCAACCUCGAGACGUCGGUUGAAACCGUAUGGCUAGAGUCCGGAAGAGGAGAGUGGAAUUCCCGGUGUAGCGGUGAAAUGCGCAGAUAUCGGGAAGAACACCUAUGGCGAAGGCAGCUCUCUGGGACGGUACUGACGCUGAGACACGAAAGCGUGGGUAGCAAACAGG